CAGCCGCCGCGGGAAUACGUAGGUGGCAAGCGUUGUCCGGAAUUAUUGGGCGUAAAGGGCUCGCAGGCGGUUUCUUAAGUCUGAUGUGAAAGCCCCCGGCUCAACCGGGGAGGGUCAUUGGAAACUGGGAAACUUGAGUGCAGAAGAGGAGAGUGGAAUUCCACGUGUAGCGGUGAAAUGCGUAGAGAUGUGGAGGAACACCAGUGGCGAAGGCGACUCUCUGGUCUGUAACUGACGCUGAGGAGCGAAAGCGUGGGGAGCGAACGGGAUUAGAUACCCCCGUAGUCCCUGUCUCUUAUAA
rnacentral:rRNA from 1 species